GGUCAGGCUGAAGACCUUUACCGGGAUUUAGCUGAGAGGUGGUGCAUGGCCGUCGUCAGUUCGUACUGUGAAGCAUCCUGUUAAGUCAGGCAACGAGCGAGACCCACGUCCACAGUUGCCAGCAUACCCUCCGGGGUGAUGGGUACACUGUGGAGACCGCCGCUGCUAAAGCGGAGGAAGGAAUGGGCAACGGUAGGUCAGUAUGCCCCGAAUCUCCCGGGCUACACGCGGGCUACAAUGGUUGGUACAAUGGGCAUCUACCCCGAAAGGGGAAGGAAAUCUCUUAAAGCCAAUCGUAGUUCGGAUUGAGGGCUGCAACUCGCCCUCAUGAAGCUGGAAUCCGUAGUAAUCGCGCUUCAACAGAACGCGGUGAAUACGUCCCUGCUCCUU
rnacentral:rRNA from 1 species